rnacentral:rRNA from 1 species
GACGAACGCUGGCGGCGUGCUUAACACAUGCAAGACGAACGGAAAGGCCUUGCUUUUGUGGGGUGCUCGAGUGGCGAACGGGUGAGUAACACGUGAGUAACCUGCCCUUGACUUUGGGAUAACUUCAGGAAACUGGGGCUAAUACCGGAUAGGAGCUCCUGCUGCAUGGUGGGGGUUGGAAAGUUUCGGCGGUUGGGGAUGGACUCGCGGCUUAUCAGCUUGUUGGUGGGGUAGUGGCUUACCAAGGCUUUGACGGGUAGCCGGCCUGAGAGGGUGACCGGCCACAUUGGGACUGAGAUACGGCCCAGACUCCUACGGGAGGCAGCAGUGGGGAAUAUUGCACAAUGGGCGGAAGCCUGAUGCAGCAACGCCGCGUGCGGGAUGACGGCCUUCGGGUUGUAAACCGCUUUCGCCUGUGACGAAGCGUGAGUGACGGUAAUGGGUAAAGAAGCACCGGCUAACUACGUG